rnacentral:rRNA from 2 species
GACAGGUGGUGCAUGGUUGUCGUCAGCUCGUGUCGUGAGAUGUUGGGUUAAGUCCCGCAACGAGCGCAACCCCUAUCCUCAGUAGCCAGCAUUUAAGGUGGGCACUCUGGGGAGACUGCCAGGGAUAACCUGGAGGAAGGCGGGGAUGACGUCAAAUCAUCAUGCCCCUUAUGAUUUGGGCUACACACGUGCUACAAUGGCGUAAACAAAGGGAAGCGAGAUUGUGAGAUGGAGCAAAUCCCAAAAAUAACGUCCCAGUUCGGACUGUAGUCUGCAACCCGACUACACGAAGCUGGAAUCGCUAGUAAUCGCGGAUCAGAAUGCCGCGGUGAAUACGUUCCCGGGUCUUGUACACACCGCCCGUCACACCAUGGGAGUCAGUAACGCCCGAAGUCAGUGACCUAACUGCAAAGAAGGAGCUGCCGAAGGCGGGACCGAUGACUGGGGUGAAGUCGUAACAAGGUAGCCGUAUCGGAAGGUGCGGCUGGAUCACCUCCUUUCUAAGGAA